rnacentral:rRNA from 1 species
UACGUAGGCAGCAAGCGUUGUUCGGAAUUACUGGGCGUAAAGAGUGUGUAGGCGGUGCUCUAAGUUCGGUGUGAAAUCUCCCGGCUUAACUGGGAGGGUGCGCCGGAAACUGGAGUGCUCGAGCGUGGGAGAGGAAAGCGGAAUUCCUGGUGUAGCGGUGAAAUGCGUAGAUAUCAGGAGGAACACCUGCGGUGUAGACGGCUUGCUGGACCAUUGCUGACGCUGAGACACGAAAGCGUGGGUAGCAAACAGG